rnacentral:rRNA from 2 species
CUGGAGGUAUCAGAAGUGCGAAUGCUGACAUAAGUAACGAUAAAGCGGGUGAAAAGCCCGCUCGCCGGAAGACCAAGGGUUCCUGUCCAACGUUAAUCGGGGCAGGGUGAGUCGACCCCUAAGGCGAGGCCGAAAGGCGUAGUCGAUGGGAAACGGGUUAAUAUUCCCGUACUUGGUGUUACUGCGAAGGGGGGACGGAGAAGGCUAUGUUGGCCGGGCGACGGUUGUCCCGGUUUAAGCGUGUAGGUGUGUGUUCCAGGUAAAUCCGGUUCACUUUAACACUGAGGCGUGAUGACGAGGCACUACGGUGCUGAAGCAACAAAUGCCCUGCUUCCAGGAAAAGCCUCUAAGCAUCAGGUAACAUCAAAUCGUACCCCAAACCGACACAGGUGGUCAGGUAGAGAAUACCAAGGCGCUUGAGAGAACUCGGGUGAAGGAACUAGGCAAAAUGGUGCCGUAACUUCGGGAGAAGGCACGCUGACACGUAGGUGAAGUGAUUUACUCAUGGAGCUGAAGUCAGUCGAAGAUACCAGCUGGCUGCAACUGUUUAUUAAAAACACAGCACUGUGCAAACACGAAAGUGGACGUAUACGGUGUGACGCCUGCCCGGUGCCGGAAGGUUAAUUGAUGGGGUCAGCGCAAGCGAAGCUCCUGAUCGAAGCCCCGGUAAACGGCGGCCGUAACUAUAACGGUCCUAAGGUAGCGAAAUUCCUUGUCGGGUAAGUUCCGACCUGCACGAAUGGCGUAAUGAUGGCCAGGCUGUCUCCACCCGAGACUCAGUGAAAUUGAACUCGCUGUGAAGAUGCAGUGUACCCGCGGCAAGACGGAAAGACCCCGUGAACCUUUACUAUAGCUUGACACUGAACAUUGAGCCUUGAUGUGUAGGAUAGGUGGGAGGCUUUGAAGUGUGGACGCCAGUCUGCAUGGAGCCGGCCUUGAAAUACCACCCUUUAAUGUUUGAUGUUCUAACGUGGACCCGUGAUCCGGGUUGCGGACAGUGUCUGGUGGGUAGUUUGACUGGGGCGGUCUCCUCCUAAAGAGUAACGGAGGAGCACGAAGGUUGGCUAAUCCUGGUCGGACAUCAGGAGGUUAGUGCAAUGGCAUAAGCCAGCUUGACUGCGAGCGUGACGGCGCGAGCAGGUGCGAAAGCAGGUCAUAGUGAUCCGGUGGUUCUGAAUGGAAGGGCCAUCGCUCAACGGAUAAAAGGUACUCCGGGGAUAACAGGCUGAUACCGCCCAAGAGUUCAUAUCGACGGCGGUGUUUGGCACCUCGAUGUCGGCUCAUCACAUCCUGGGGCUGAAGUAGGUCCCAAGGGUAUGGCUGUUCGCCAUUUAAAGUGGUACGCGAGCUGGGUUUAGAACGUCGUGAGACAGUUCGGUCCCUAUCUGCCGUGGGCGCUGGAGAACUGAGGGGGGCUGCUCCUAGUACGAGAGGACCGGAGUGGACGCAUCACUGGUGUUCGGGUUGUCAUGCCAAUGGCACUGCCCGGUAGCUAAAUGCGGAAGAGAUAAGUGCUGAAAGCAUCUAAGCACGAAACUUGCCCCGAGAUGA